rnacentral:lncRNA from 1 species
UUGCAUGCUUGAAUUUGUUUUGAUCGUGAUCAACAAAGUGAUUUUAGGAUUUUGGGUUCGGCUCAAUAAUUUUUUUUGAUAAAGCUAUUGAUUUUUUUGUUUUAAAUUUUUUAAAAAUUACUUUUCACUAUGUAAUCAGAAUCCAAAAGUAAUAUCAGAGCCACCUUUAUUUGAUUCGAUCAAACAAGUAUAAUAGUUGUGCAUAGAAUCAUUCUUGUGC